rnacentral:ncRNA from 1 species
CAGAAUUAACGGGGAAAGAAGAUCCUGUUGAACUUGACAUCAAUCCGACCUUGUGAGCAGACAUCGCUUAUUCCGUAACCCGAGGAAAACAGUUUGGUCCCAAGCACAUGACAGCGUUUAUGGUUCACUUGCGAGUUCCGGUAUCUUGGUCAUGCCAAAGAAGUCGUGAAUUCGGUCGUGAUGUUUGAGUCCGGAUGUGAUGUGUUACCCGUUCUGAAGGCAACGUCAGGCGGGGAGUUUGACUAGGGCGGUGCAUCUGUCAAAGAGUAACGCAGGUCUCCCAAGGUGAGCUCAGCCAGUGCACAGAGUAGAAUGGCAAAAGCUUACAUGUCUAGGAUUUUCAGUAAGAAUGCACACCGUAAAGGUACGGCCUAUGGGUCCUUUUGAUUUUGAUAUUCGGAGUUUGAAGCAAGAGGUGUCAAGAUAAUUAGUACGGGAUUACCUGGCUUCUGGGAGCCAAUCGUUUAUAGCAACGUAAAUUUUUGAUCGUUCGAUAUAGGCUCCAUCUAGCGUUAGGACACAGGAUUACUAAGCGUUGGAACGUUCGCCUACCAGUAGGGAGCAGGAGCUGGGUUCAGGCCAUUGUGAGACAGGUUAGUUUAGUUAGUACAGCGACUCAGUGCAUUACAGACUUGCCGUCGCUAUGAAAGUUCUGUGUAGUACGAGAGGGCCGCAGGUUCAGACACGUGCCAUAUGUGCCUAGCCAAAAGGCUAAUGGUGCAAAGCUACCACCCGAGAGAUUAAGGCUGAACGCCAUCAAGUCUGAAUCCCGUCCAAAUGCGCAAAGUUACAUUCUGUGCCUGUUAUGCGACAAAGCUUGCUUACGUUUUCUCUUUGGUGCUUGGCCCAGACUAUGUGUAUGACAUGGUCUAUUAAGUCUCGUGUAAUGCCAGCCAUCAUAAUCAUCAUCGUCAGCUGUAAUGACAGAGCGAUUACCGAAACCGUGUACUUGACCUCAGUGUGCGGAGGACGACAAGAUAUCCAAAAGUUGAAUGAGCAUGAAGACACUGAGUCGUCAGUAGGUGACUCAGUUUUUUCGGGGAGGUGUAUGCGUUCGAUCAGCUAUCAUACUGUGAGACUCUGAGCCCUAUCUCUAUAUAACGUAGUGA